UGGCUAUGAGGACAAAAGAAUUCACUGAAUUAUUGUGAUUAGUGAUACGCUAUUCUGAGCCAACA
rnacentral:snoRNA from 1 species